UUAAGCGACUAAGCGUACACGGUGGAUGCCCUGGCAGUCAGAGGCGAUGAAGGACGUGCUAAUCUGCGAAAAGCGCCGGCGAGGUGAUAUGAACCUUUGACCCGGCGAUGUCCGAAUGGGGAAACCCAGUGCAAUCCGUUGCACUAUCGUUAACUGAAUACAUAGGUUAACGAGGCGAACCGGGGGAACUGAAACAUCUAAGUACCCCGAGGAAAAGAAAUCAACCGAGAUUCCCCCAGUAGCGGCGAGCGAACGGGGAGCAGCCCGGAGUCUGAAUCAGCUUGUGUGUUAGUGGAACGGUCUGGAAAGUCCGACGGUACAGGGUGAUAGUCCCGUACACGAAAGCACACAUGCUGUGAACUCGAAGAGUAGGGCGGGACACGUGGUAUCCUGUCUGAAUAUGGGGGGACCAUCCUCCAAGGCUAAAUACUCCUGACUGACCGAUAGUGAACCAGUACCGUGAGGGAAAGGCGAAAAGAACCCCGGCGAGGGGAGUGAAAAAGAACCUGAAACCGUGUACGUACAAGCAGUGGGAGCCUCUUUAUGGGGUGACUGCGUACCUUUUGUAUAAUGGGUCAGCGACUUAUAUUCUGUAGCAAGGUUAACCGUAUAGGGGAGCCGAAGGGAAACCGAGUCUUAACUGGGCGUUAAGUUGCAGGGUAUAGACCCGAAACCCGGUGAUCUAGCCAUGGGCAGGUUGAAGGUUGGGUAACACUAACUGGAGGACCGAACCGACUAAUGUUGAAAAAUUAGCGGAUGACCUGUGGCUGGGGGUGAAAGGCCAAUCAAACCGGGAGAUAGCUGGUUCUCCCCGAAAGCUAUUUAGGUAGCGCCUCGUGAACUCAUCUUCGGGGGUAGAGCACUGUUUCGGCUAGGGGGCCAUCCCGGCUUACCAACCCGAUGCAAACUACGAAUACCGAAGAAUGUUAUCACGGGAGACACACGGCGGGUGCUAACGUCCGUCGUGAAGAGGGAAACAACCCAGACCGCCAGCUAAGGUCCCAAAGUCAUGGUUAAGUGGGAAACGAUGUGGGAAGGCACAGACAGCCAGGAUGUUGGCUUAGAAGCAGCCAUCAUUUAAAGAAAGCGUAAUAGCUCACUGGUCGAGUCGGCCUGCGCGGAAGAUGUAACGGGGCUAAACCAUGCACCGAAGCUGCGGCAGCGACGCUUAGGCGUUGUUGGGUAGGGGAGCGUUCUGUAAGCCGUUGAAGGUGUCCUGUGAGGGGUGCUGGAGGUAUCAGAAGUGCGAAUGCUGACAUAAGUAACGAUAAAGCGGGUGAAAAGCCCGCUCGCCGGAAGACCAAGGGUUCCUGUCCAACGUUAAUCGGGGCAGGGUGAGUCGACCCCUAAGGCGAGGCCGAAAGGCGUAGUCGAUGGGAAACAGGUUAAUAUUCCUGUACUUGGUGUUACUGCGAAGGGGGGACGGAGAAGGCUAUGUCAGCCGGGCGACGGUUGUCCCGGUUUAAGCAUGUAGGCGGAGGUUCCAGGUAAAUCCGGUACCUUAUUAACGCUGAGGUGUGAUGACGAGGCACUACGGUGCUGAAGUGAUAAAUGCCCUGCUUCCAGGAAAAGCCUCUAAGCAUCAGGUAACACGAAAUCGUACCCCAAACCGACACAGGUGGUCAGGUAGAGAAUACCAAGGCGCUUGAGAGAACUCGGGUGAAGGAACUAGGCAAAAUGGUGCCGUAACUUCGGGAGAAGGCACGCUGAUAUGUAGGUGAAGCCCCUGCGGGCGGAGCUGAAAUCAGUCGAAGAUACCAGCUGGCUGCAACUGUUUAUUAAAAACACAGCACUGUGCAAACACGAAAGUGGACGUAUACGGUGUGACGCCUGCCCGGUGCCGGAAGGUUAAUUGAUGGGGUUAGCGGCAACGCGAAGCUCUUGAUCGAAGCCCCGGUAAACGGCGGCCGUAACUAUAACGGUCCUAAGGUAGCGAAAUUCCUUGUCGGGUAAGUUCCGACCUGCACGAAUGGCGUAAUGAUGGCCAGGCUGUCUCCACCCGAGACUCAGUGAAAUUGAACUCGCUGUGAAGAUGCAGUGUACCCGCGGCAAGACGGAAAGACCCCGUGAACCUUUACUAUAGCUUGACACUGAACACUGGUCCUUGAUGUGUAGGAUAGGUGGGAGGCUUUGAAGCGUGGACGCCAGUCUGCGUGGAGCCAACCUUGAAAUACCACCCUUUAAUGGCUGGUGUUCUAACGUAGACCCGUAAUCCGGGUUGCGGACAGUGUCUGGUGGGUAGUUUGACUGGGGCGGUCUCCUCCCAAAGAGUAACGGAGGAGCACGAAGGUUGGCUAAUCCUGGUCGGACAUCAGGAGGUUAGUGCAAUGGCAUAAGCCAGCUUGACUGCGAGCGUGACGGCGCGAGCAGGUGCGAAAGCAGGUCAUAGUGAUCCGGUGGUUCUGAAUGGAAGGGCCAUCGCUCAACGGAUAAAAGGUACUCCGGGGAUAACAGGCUGAUACCGCCCAAGAGUUCAUAUCGACGGCGGUGUUUGGCACCUCGAUGUCGGCUCAUCACAUCCUGGGGCUGAAGUAGGUCCCAAGGGUAUGGCUGUUCGCCAUUUAAAGUGGUACGCGAGCUGGGUUUAGAACGUCGUGAGACAGUUCGGUCCCUAUCUGCCGUGGGCGCUGGAGAAUUGAGGGGGGCUGCUCCUAGUACGAGAGGACCGGAGUGGACGCAUCACUGGUGUUCGGGUUGUCAUGCCAAUGGCACUGCCCGGUAGCUAAAUGCGGAAGAGAUAAGUGCUGAAAGCAUCUAAGCACGAAACUUGCCCCGAGAUGAGUUCUCCCUGAGACUUUAAGUCUCCUGAAGGAACGUUGAAGACGACGACGUUGAUAGGUCGGGUGUGUAAGCGCAGCGAUGCGUUGAGCUAACCGAUACUAAUGAACCGUGAGGCUUAACCUU
rnacentral:rRNA from 1 species